GCGAGCGAGGGACGGCGCGGCGGGCUCGGAGCACGCCGGGGAGGUGGAAGAAGCCGGGCACGCGGAGUCGAGCCGACAAAACCCGAAGAACCCACGCUCCAGGUGUCCGGGAGCUGAGCGGAAAGAGGAGCGAGCUGCAGUGGCUUCCUACUAGAAUCCUAAGGUGAAAGGGAGAUGGAUUUAGAUGCAUUUUGGAAGUGGCUGCUGUUCCCUUCUUCUAGCCUGCAUCAGAUGGAAGACUGUUCUUGGGAAAUGGAUGCCAGUGGCCAGGACUGAGUCACAUUCUGAUGUCCUACUGCAAUGGAAGCAAGCAAGGUGACUGUUCAAUAUUUUUAGCUGCUCUAAUGGGAGAAAGAAAUCACUCAAAAGAGAUUUCCAAAAAAGGAUGGAAAUGAAAACCAUUGAAAUCAUCUCAGGUCAUGGAAGUAACAAAAAUCCAAUGACUAGUACACUAAUGGAUUGAAGCCAAAGCAUGGGGUUUCAAAUACCUCCCCAGGGACAAUUCCAUCCAGUAAUUUAAAAAAGUGACUUUUCAAAAUAAUUAAAAGCAGCAUUAACUUCCAACAGAUAAUGAAAGUCUUCCAGUUCAUCAGCAAAAAUGCCUCUCAAGAAGAGUUCAUUACCCAAAUAAUCAAUAUGUGAAACAGAGAAAGAGAUAAGCUGAGGAGAAGAGAGAGAGGGUAAGAGAAAUACUUUUAGUAAAUAAGGUCAUUUAUCUUCUAAUAACAUCAGGAUUUACA